rnacentral:rRNA from 1 species
GAUCAUGGCUCAGGAUGAACGCUAGCGGCAGGCUUAACACAUGCAAGUCGGAGGGGGCAGCGGGGUGUAGCAAUACACUGCCGGCGACCGGCGCACGGGUGCGUAACGCGUAUGCAACCUACCCAUAACAGGGGCAUAACACUGAGAAAUUGGUACUAAUUCCCCAUAACAUUCGAAGAGGCAUCUCUUUGGGUUGAAAACUCCGGUGGUUAUGGAUGGGCAUGCGUUGUAUUAGCUAGUUGG